GAUGAACGCUGGCGGCGUGCUUAACACAUGCCAGUCGAACGGAAAGGCUCCUGCUUGCAGGGGUACUCGAGUGGCGAACGGGUGAGUAACACGUGGGUGAUCUGCCCUGCACUUCGGGAUAAGCCUGGGAAACUGGGUCUAAUACCGGAUAGGACGAUGGUUUGGAUGCCAUUGUGGAAAGUUUUUCGGUGUGGGAUGAGCUCGCGGCCUAUCAGCUUGUUGGUGGGGUAAUGGCCUACCAAGGCGUCGACGGGUAGCCGGCAUGAGAGGUGGUACGGCGACAUUGGGACUGAGAUACGGCCCAGACUCCUACGGGAGGCAGCAGUGGGGAGUAUUGCACAAUGGGGGCAAGCCUGAUGCAGAGACGCCGGGUGGGGGAAGACGGCCUUCGGGUUGUAAACGGCUUUCACUAGAGACGAAGCGCAAGUGACGGUACCUGGAGAAGAAGCACCGGCUAACUACGUG
rnacentral:rRNA from 1 species